AACGAACGCUGGCGGCAUGCCUAAUACAUGCAAGUCGAACGAGAUCUUCGGAUCUAGUGGCGCACGGGUGCGUAACGCGUGGGAAUCUGCCCUUGGGUUCGGAAUAACUUCUGGAAACGGAAGCUAAUACCGGAUGAUGACGUAAGUCCAAAGAUUUAUCGCCCAAGGAUGAGCCCGCGUAGGAUUAGCUAGUUGGUGGGGUAAAGGCCCACCAAGGCGACGAUCCUUAGCUGGUCUGAGAGGAUGAUCAGCCACACUGGGACUGAGACACGGCCCAGACUCCUACGGGAGGCAGCAGUAGGGAAUAUUGGACAAUGGGCGAAAGCCUGAUCCAGCAAUGCCGCGUGAGUGAUGAAGGCCUUAGGGUUGUAAAGCUCUUUUACCCGGGAUGAUAAUGACAGUACCGGGAGAAUAAGCUCCGGCUAACUCCGUGCCAGCAGCCGCCGUAAGAC
rnacentral:rRNA from 1 species